UUUGAUUCUGGCUCAGAACGAACGCUGGCGGCGUGGAUAAGACAUGCAAGUCGAGCGGAAUACAGCGGGUAGCAAUAUUCGAUGUGUUCAGCGGCGCAAGGGUGCGUAACACGUGGGCAAUCUGCCCUGAAGACCGAGAUAACUCCGAGAAAUCGGAGCUAAUAUCAGAUGUGACUGUCGGAAGGCAUCUUCUGACAUUCAAAGUUGGGGACCGAAAGGCCUGACACUUCAGGAUGAGCCCGCGGCCUAUCAGCUAGUUGGUGAGGUAACGGCUCACCAAGGCUAAGACGGGUAGCUGGUCUGAGAGGACGACCAGCCACACUGGAACUGAGACACGGUCCAGACACCUACGGGUGGCAGCAGUCGAGAAUUUUUCACAAUGGGCGAAAGCCUGAUGGAGCGACGCCGCGUGGGGGAUGAAUGGCUUCGGCCCGUAAACCCCUGUCAUUCGCGAACAAACCUCGCUAUUUAAAAGAUGGCGAGUUGAUGGUAGCGGAAGAGGAAGGGACGGCUAACUCUGUGCCAGCAGCCGCGGUAAUACAGAGGUCCCAAGCGUUGUUCGGAUUCACUGGGCGUAAAGGGUGCGUAGGCGGUUGGGUAAGUCUGAUGUGAAAUCCCGCAGCUUAACUGCGGAACUGCAUCGGAAACUAUUCAGCUAGAGGGGUGGAGGGGAGACUGGAAUUCUCGGUGUAGCAGUGAAAUGCGUAGAUAUCGAGAGGAACACCAGUGGCGAAAGCGAGUCUCUGGACACCUCCUGACGCUGAGGCACGAAAGCCAGGGGAGCAAACGGGAUUAGAUACCCCGGUAGUCCUGGCCCUAAACGGUGCACGUUUGCUGUAAGAGGAAUCGACCCCUUUUGUGGCGAAGCUAACGCGUUAAACGUGCCGCCUGG
rnacentral:rRNA from 1 species